AACGAACGCUGGCGGCAGGCCUAACACAUGCAAGUCGAGCGAGGACUUCGGUCCUAGCGGCGGACGGGUGAGUAACGCGUGGGAACGUGCCCUUUGCUUCGGAAUAGCCCUGGGAAACUGGGAGUAAUACCGGAUGAGCCCUUUGGGGGAAAGAUUUAUCGGCGAAGGAUCGGCCCGCGUUGGAUUAGGUAGUUGGUGGGGUAAUGGCCUACCAAGCCGACGAUCCAUAGCUGGUUUGAGAGGAUGAUCAGCCACACUGGGACUGAGACACGGCCCAGACUCCUACGGGAGGCAGCAGUGGGGAAUCUUAGACAAUGGGGGAAACCCUGAUCUAGCCAUGCCGCGUGAGCGAUGAAGGCCUUAGGGUUGUAAAGCUCUUUCAGCUGGGAAGAUAAUAACGGUACCAGCAGAAGAAGCCCCGGCUAACUCCGUG
rnacentral:rRNA from 1 species